AGGGAUCAUUACUGAGUUACCGCUCUAUAACCCUUUGUGAACGUACCUAACCGUUGCUUCGGCGGGCAGGGGAAGCCUCUCGCGGGCCUCCCCUCCCGGCGCCGGCCCCCACCACGGGGACGGGGCGCCCGCCGGAGGAAACCAAACUCUAUUUACACGACGUCUCUUCUGAGUGGCACAAGCAAAUAAUUAAAACUUUUAACAACGGAUCUCUUGGUUCUGGCAUCGAUGAAGAACGCAGCGAAAUGCGAUAAGUAAUGUGAAUUGCAGAAUUCAGUGAAUCAUCGAAUCUUUGAACGCACAUUGCGCUCGCCAGCAUACUGGCGAGCAUGCCUGUUCGAGCGUCAUUUCAACCCUCAAGCACCGCUUGGCUUUGGGGCCCCACGGCACACGUGGGCCCUUAAAGGUAGUGGCGGACCCUCCCGGAGCCUCCUUUGCGUAGUAACUAACGUCUCGCACUGGGAUCCGGGAGGGACUCUUGCCGUAAACCCCCCCAAUUCUUUACAGGUUGACCUCGGAUCAGGUAGGAAUACCCGCUGAACUUAA
rnacentral:rRNA from 1 species